rnacentral:rRNA from 1 species
UUUAACUGAAGAGUUUGAUCAUGGCUCAGAUUGAACGCUGGCGGCAGGCUUAACACAUGCAAGUCGAGCGGGGGAAAGUAGCUUGCUACCGGACCUAGCGGCGGACGGGUGAGUAAUGCUUAGGAAUCUGCCUAUUAGUGGGGGACAACAUCUCGAAAGGGAUGCUAAUACCGCAUACGUCCUACGGGAGAAAGCAGGGG